rnacentral:tRNA from 2 species
UCCUAGUUAGUACAACGGUUAGUAUAUGUCGCUCUCACUAGUCCACAAGACUGUGGAGCGCCGACAAGACCCGGGUUCGACUCCCGGAUUGGGAA